UACCUGGUUGAUCCUGCCAGUAGUCAUAUGCUUG
rnacentral:rRNA from 5 species